rfam:Ictidomys tridecemlineatus contig001125, whole genome shotgun sequence.
GGGGAUAUAGCUCAGUUGGUAGAGUGCUUGCCUUGCAUGCACAAGGCCCUGGGUUCGAUCCCCAGCACCA